UAUAAAUAUGAGCGAGUACGUUGGCUGUUAUUCGUAACUUUCUAACUGAUGAAUAACAGCUUGAAUUGAAUAAGUUCUUUCUAUGCACUUACACCACGUCCAAUGCUUGCAGGCCAUUACUAUUCUGGUUAGAUGAACCCCUCAUAGCUGAGCAGUUAACAGAAAAAGGAAAGAUAGAAGCUUUUUAAAGGGACGUACUUUUGUGACGGAGUAUUAAACACCCUUCCUUGCGGGUUAUGGAAUUACUUGUAGCAGGAUUGAGAAAAGAGCUGUAGCUGUUAAUAUAAUAUGUUCUUUUGUUAUGUUUUUCGUCUAAAGCGAUGCUGUAAUGUUACUUUUUGAAUUAUUAGGUCACUCCCGGAGAUGAAAUUUCAUAGAGAUUUUAAAUAAAAUGACAAACGUAGUAGACAU